rnacentral:misc_RNA from 1 species
GCUUGCACCCAACUAUUACACAUAGAAGUAAAACAGACAUUUAGUAACACACAUGGGAUCUUGGACAAACAAACAAGUAUAUAAUUAGUGAGGAAUAUAUACCUUAUUAUUCCAAAGACCCAUUAAUAGAAUUUGAAAAUAAAGAGGAGGCAAUACAAUCAAACACAUCAAAAGAAAAAUGUAUAAACAUGAGAUGAAAUCCUUUUGUCAACGUUAAUCACAAAACAGAAGGCAAG